rnacentral:rRNA from 1 species
AGUGAACGCUGGCGGUAGGCCUAACACAUGCAAGUCGAACGGCAGCACAGUAAGAGCUUGCUCUUACGGGUGGCGAGUGGCGGACGGGUGAGGAAUACAUCGGAAUCUACUUUUUCGUGGGGGAUAACGUAGGGAAACUUACGCUAAUACCGCAUACGACCUACGGGUGAAAGCAGGGGAUCUUCGGACCUUGCGCGAUUGAAUGAGCCGAUGUCGGAUUAGCUAGUUGGCGGGGUAAAGGCCCACCAAGGCGACGAUCCGUAGCUGGUCUGAGAGGAUGAUCAGCCACACUGGAACUGAGACACGGUCCAGACUCCUACGGGAGGCAGCAGUGGGGAAUAUUGGACAAUGGGCGCAAGCCUGAUCCAGCCAUACCGCGUGAGUGAAGAAGGCCUUCGGGUUGUAAAGCCCUUUUGUUAGGAAAGAAAAGCAGCAGGUUAAUACCCCGCUGUUCUGACGGUACCCAAAGAAUAAGCACCGGCUAACUUCGUG